ACGGCAGAGAGAGCCCCUGUGCCACGGGAGCCGGCCUCGGAGGAGCCACCAGAGCUGACCCCAGGGUGCUGGAGGAGGAUUGCUGGCCUCAGCCUGAACUCCAUCCUGCAUCCCAGGCUCCCCAGCCCUCUUGGGAUGCAGGUGAGGGGUGCCAAGCUGCUUUGGGGUGAGGCCAGCACAAGCCCACUUCUUGCAUUGCGCCCCCUUGCAUGGGUGGGCCUGGUUCUGCACCACAUCUGCUGUGGAGAGCCCCAGUGACUGCACUGGUGGGCUCAUCCCUGGGGAAUCUGCUGCUUUGGUUUUGUCCCCGACUGUCCUGGGAUAUGCAGCAUCUAUGUGCAGACACUGCCAGCAGCACAGGGGAGGAGAAAGAGGAAGAGGAGGAAAAAGAUGCUGAGGAAUGGCCAUGACAGCAAGGGCUGCCCCAGCCACGAUGCUCUUCAAGGUUUCUCAAGAGGCCUCAGCCACUCUUUCAAGGUUUGUGUUAUAUCUGUCACAUUAGCGAAAAUGGUGAAAAUUGUGGCUUGUGGAGGAGAUGAAAGGCAGCCCCUUGCAAUUCCUCCAUAAAGGAAGGGCCCCAUUAACACCUAGUGAAUUAUUGGCCAUUAAUCAGGCUCUGUGCAAAAUAAAACCAUCCACAUUUAUCAUUAUUGGAUCCUUAAUGAAGUGAUAAUGGGAAUGCUGGGGAGCUGUGAUAUUAAUGUCUUCUAAGAGGCAAGAGCAGAGCCAAGGGCGGCAGCCAAGAUUUUUAAUUUACUGCCAGAAGCUCGUGCUGUUAAUAACGCUGUUACUUCUCCCGGCCGUUUGCACUGUUUGGCUACGAGCUGCCGACUUAGGAGAGCAAAUCAACCCUGAACAUACCCAGACUUCGUUCACCUGCUCCCCACACAGCAUCUGAGCACGUUUUUCCCACCCACUGUCCCAGUGUCCCCUGCCCAUGUGUAGGGAUAUGGCUGGGGAGCUGCUGGCUGUCUUCACCCACCUGACUCCUUCCUGAAGGCUGGCUGAUGUAGAAAGUUUUGUUUUUCUGAUAAAAAGAGAAGGGACUGUGAGUGUCAAGCCUCAGUGUCUCUUACUGUCCUCACUCUCUCUGUGACUUUUCUCCUUAGGCACAGGCUCCCCAGAACCAGGGGGGCACAGAGCUGCUCCCAGCACAGCCCACACACUGGGGGUGCUCAGUGUGACUGCAGCCACACUCUGGCAUCUUCAUUUGCACAGCUUUACUCCCAUGAGGCCAAUAUCCCAUCCAGGACAGCAUGGACAAGCUGCAGAGCCCUGCUCAGCUCUGGUGACUCACUUGAGUUCACAAUGGGAAAGUCAUUGCUCCUGCCAAGCCCUGCCAGCCCAGAGGCAAAUCAUUACCAGGCAGAGGGAGCUCUCAUGAUCUCUCCAUGGCUCUAAUUAAAAUGGCCUGGAUGUCCAUGACAUUGGUGCCUGUCAAGCCUGUCACCAGGAGGUGAUGCCCACCUUGGAACUGGCUGAAGAACGUGUAGGAGUCAUUGUUCCUGAGAAAGGCCUCCACAUCCAGACCCUCCUGAAGUGCCUCAGCCACCAGCUCUGGGCUGCAGAAGGCUCCUGCUGCCUCUGUUGGCCCGUCCUGCCCAUCUGUUCCCCCACUGAGGAAGAGGAUCUCACACCUCCCCUGGGGGCUGCUGGCUCCUGUGCCCUGAGCCUUGUGCAGCCCCAGCCCCACACGCAGAGCCAGCUCCUGGUUUCUCCCUCCCUUGCCGGUUCCUUGGAGCUGGACUGUGGUUUCUCCACCAGCCAGGAUGCAGACUGGUCUGUCGGGCCCUAAUCCUCGCAGUACCUGUAGAAACUCAUCCAGGUGCAAACCUGGGAUCUGUAGCUCUGCUGCCAGCUGCAGGAGAUUCCCUCUCAGCUCGUCACCCAGGGGCCUUUCUCCAAGGCUGGUGAAGCCCAGGCAGACCAGCUGGAUCAGCUGGCAGUACAGUGUGGCAACACGGCCCACUUCCCCAUGGACUGCUGCACUCAGGACCAGAGCAGCAUAGCCCAGGCCCUCAGCCUGGCGCCUGGCCUCUUCCAAAGCCAGCGUGUUGGACCCAAGGAUGAUGUUGGAAACAUGGGAGUAGUUUUCCAGAGCAGUGGGCUUGGUGGGAGAGCUGGAGAGGACCAUUUCCACUGACUUGGGCAGGUUGUGCAGCAGGUUGUAUUUGGUGAGUAUGUGAAGGCAGUCUUGGACACUGUGGGAGCUGGCAGCAGUGGGCCCACUCGCUAUGAUGUCCAGGGGGUCACCUAUCACAUCAGACAGAAUGAGACUCACCACCUAUGGAAAGAAAUGCCCACAGAUUGUUGCAGGAGGCAAAGACAGGUGACCACAAAAGAGCCCUGGCAUAAGCACUGCUCUGAGUGUCAUCCCCACAUCAAAGCAGAUGGAAGCAGGGUAGGUCUUCGCCCAUUUUUGUUUUAUGGACCUGUGAGUGUCACCUUGCCCUUCUCAAACCCACAGAUUUACAGUCCCCUUUGAAGUUGGACUACCGUGUUGGAAGAUGUAACCUGUGACACUGCACUUGUCAGGCCCUAGUGUGGGUUCAGCAAUGGCACAUGCUGAGAACAGCCCCCAGGAGAGCCAAGGGUCAAAGCCAGCCUUGAAAGCACUGUGCUGAAGCACCAACACUUGGAAGUGUCUGCUGGGUGUGGGCUGGGGUCUGCAGAGUGGCAUGAUGGGAUGGCUGAUGUUUCUCAGGUCUGAAUUCCCACCCUCCCAGCUCUGUCUCCCUGAGAGUUUCAGUCCAAAGUCAAAUCUCAGCUGGAGAGUCCCAAAACAGUGUGCAAAGUUGUUCACUCAGUAUGGAAAAAAACCUGGCAAGUUGAUUAAACCUCUGUUUUGAGGACAGAAGGGUGAUCUCUGGGCAAACAGGGGCUUUCCCUUGGUUACCUGUGCAGGAUGUGCCAGCUGGGCCAGCCCUCCACCCUUCAGCACAGACAGAGUCUUCCGGACAAUGUUCAGCUCCUGUAUGGCAGCUCCUCGGGAAGCCAACAUCUUUGUGAGUUUCUCCUUUUCCUCGAGGAGGAUGGGAGGGAUGGGAGCAGGCAGUAGGGCUGAUCCACCCCCUAGGACACAGAAGAGAUGACAAGGACAUCAGGAUAGCAGGAAAAGGAGGACAAAGGAGAGCAAGGCUUUAGCCUUUUCUCUUCACUCACCAGUGUCUGGAGAGAAGGCAGAGGUGACUGGGGACCUAAGCUAACAUCUCUGGAGAAUUCAGUCAUCUUCAACAGUGGGUUUUAAUCACUUCUGUCCUGCACUCUGCAGUGAGCUACACUUCACCCAGGUAGUGUGAGCCUGGCUGGAUGGGGGCACCACAAGCCUGCAGUGUGGUGGGAAUGACAGAAGAGGGACAGCAAUUACCCUCACUUCUGCACUGGGCUACAGCUGGGUCCUCACUUUGAUAUUCAAGGGUUACCUGGGUGGCUGAGCAGGGAGCACAGCCUCCAAGGCUCACACAGCAGCCAGUGCUGUGCACAUGGGGACACUGCCUGCUUUGGUGGCUCCAUUUAUUCAGGACAGUGUGCAAAAACACUGGCUAGGGAUGCAGCAAGAUUGGAAACUGCUGAACUGCACUCAUCUGAGCCUGUGAAGAAAGAAAAGUGGGGACAGUAAUGCAAAGGACAAAGCACACUCUGAGUCCAGGGUGAUAGCUUCACUGAUGGGAACUCUGGCUGAUAAAAGCAGGCAUUGGAAAUGAGGAAAAGAAGGCAAGGUUCCAAAUGAAAAGUGGAAUGGAUGGAAAAUACAUUGGAGAAAAGAGCAAGGUCUGUGCAGAGUGAACGUGCACAGAAGUACAGCUGAAUGCUACUGUCACAAUGCAAAGCCUGCUCAGAGGUUUGAGACAAAUCAGCAUCAAUAAAACAUGAUGAGCAAGAAAAACAAA